rnacentral:rRNA from 1 species
AUACGGAGGGUGCUAGCGUUACUCGGAUUCACUGGGCGUAAAGCGCGUGUAGGCGGCUUGCUAAGUCAGAUGUGAAAGCCCUUAGCUCAACUAAGGAAUUGCAUCUGAAACUGGCAGGCUUGAGUACGGGAGAGGAGAGUGGAAUUCCCGGUGUAGAGGUGAAAUUCGUAGAUAUCGGGAAGAACACCGGUGGCGAAGGCGGCUCUCUGGACCGAUACUGACGCUGAGACGCGAAUGCGUGGGGAGCAAACAGGAUUAGAAACCCCAGUAGUCC